rfam:Camelus ferus unplaced genomic scaffold scaffold2519, whole genome shotgun sequence.
GAGGGUAUAGCUCAGUGGUAGAGUAUAUACUUAGCAUGCUUGAGGUCCUGGGUUCAAUCCCCAGCACCUCCA